rnacentral:rRNA from 1 species
AUGAACGCUAGCGACAGGCUUAACACAUGCAAGUCGAGGGGCAGCACAGGUAGCAAUACCGGGUGGCGACCGGCGCACGGGUGAGUAACGCGUAUGCAACUUACCUAUCAGAGGGGGAUAACCCGGCGAAAGUCGGACUAAUACCGCAUGAAGCAGGGGCCCCGCAUGGGGAUAUUUGCUAAAGAUUCAUCGCUGAUAGAUAGGCAUGCGUUCCAUUAGGCAGUUGGCGGGGUAACGGCCCACCAAACCGACGAUGGAUAGGGGUUCUGAGAGGAAGGUCCCCCACAUUGGUACUGAGACACGGACCAAACUCCUACGGGAGGCAGCAGUGAGGAAUAUUGGUCAAUGGGCGUAAGCCUGAACCAGCCAAGUCGCGUGAGGGAUGAAGGUUCUAUGGAUCGUAAACCUCUUUUAUAAGGGAAUAAAGUGCGGGACGUGUCCCGUUUUGUAUGUACCUUAUGAAUAAGGAUCGGCUAACUCCGUGCCAGCAGCCGCGGUAAUACGGAGGAUCCGAGCGUUAUCCGGAUUUAUUGGGUUUAAAGGGUGCGUAGGCGGCCUUUUAAGUCAGCGGUGAAAGUCUGUGGCUCAACCAUAGAAUUGCCGUUGAAACUGGGGGGCUUGAGUAUGUUUGAGGCAGGCGGAAUGCGUGGUGUAGCGGUGAAAUGCUUAGAUAUCACGCAGAACCCCGAUUGCGAAGGCAGCCUGCCAAGCCAUGACUGACGCUGAUGCACGAAAGCGUGGGGAUCAAACAGGAUUAGAUACCCUGGUAGUCCACGCAGUAAACGAUGAUCACUAGCUGUUUGCGAUACAGUGUAAGCGGCACAGCGAAAGCGUUAAGUGAUCCACCUGGGGAGUACGCCGGCAACGGUGAAACUCAAAGGAAUUGACGGGGGCCCGCACAAGCGGAGGAACAUGUGGUUUAAUUCGAUGAUACGCGAGGAACCUUACCCGGGCUUAAAUUGCAACUGACUGAAUCGGAAACGGUUCUUUCUUCGGACAGUUGUGAAGGUGCUGCAUGGUUGUCGUCAGCUCGUGCCGUGAGGUGUCGGCUUAAGUGCCAUAACGAGCGCAACCCUUGCCACUAGUUACUAACAGGUAAAGCUGAGGACUCUGGUGGGACUGCCAGCGUAAGCUGCGAGGAAGGCGGGGAUGACGUCAAAUCAGCACGGCCCUUACAUCCGGGGCGACACACGUGUUACAAUGGCGUGGACAAAGGGAAGCCACCUGGCGACAGGGAGCGAAUCCCCAAACCACGUCUCAGUUCGGAUCGGAGUCUGCAACCCGACUCCGUGAAGCUGGAUUCGCUAGUAAUCGCGCAUCAGCCAUGGCGCGGUGAAUACGUUCCCGGGCCUUGUACACACCGCCCGUCAAGCCAUGGGAGCCGGGGGUACCUGAAGUCCGUAACCGCGAGGAUCGGCCUAGGGUAAAACUGGUGACUGGGGCU